rnacentral:lncRNA from 1 species
UUCACUUUUUGUCUUAGGAUCAUCAACAUUUGCUAAUUGAAGUAACGCUUUUUUUUAUUUGCAGAGUUUGAAAUCUUAUCGCUCUAACACUUUCAAUAUGGCUUUCUCAACGAGUUUGUGACAAAGGCUUAAGGGUAAGACCAGUUACAUUCUCUUUGAAAACUUUCCAUCGUUUAGUAGAUGAAGAAAAUAGAGUAUAUAUAUGUUGCACCACCCCAAAGAAAAAUUUAGCUUUUGAACAACAAGUGGCCAUAUCACAAAGUGCAAGAUUAAGACUAUGACAUCCACAAGGAAUGUAGAAUGCUCUAGGAUUUAGUUGUAAUAGUCUACUUUGAACUCCUUUAUGUUGUCCUUUCAUGUUAGUACCAUUAUCAUAGCCUUGACCCCUUACAUUAUCAAUAUCAAGUUCUAGAUUAUUUAAAG